rnacentral:rRNA from 1 species
UUUAAAUGUAAAUUUUUUAUCAAAGUAGUAAUAGUUAUGUUCUUGAAAUUUAAAAAUUUUGGCGGUAUUUUAGUCUAUUCAGAGGAACCUGUCCUAUAAUUGAUAGUCCACGAUAAAUUAUACUUAGAUUAAAAGUUUGUAUAUCGUCGUUUUUAUUUAUUUUAUAAGAAUUAAAAUGAUUAUGGUUUUAAAUUAAAAAAUAAAUCAGAUCAAGGUGCAGUAUAUAUUUAAGAAGAGAUGGGUUACAAUAGAUUUAUUUAUUAAUGAAUUUAUUUAUGAAAAUAAAUAUUGAAGGUGGAUUUGAUAGUAAUUAAAUUUAUAUAAUUUUUUUGAUUUUAGCUCUAAAAUGUGU